CCACAAUGGACGAAAGUCUGAUGGAGCGACGCCGCGUGGUUGAUGAAGUCCUUCGGGACGUAAAAACCUUUUAUGGAGGAGGAAGUAAUUGACGUUACUCCAUGAAUAAGGGGCUCCUAACUCUGUGCCAGCAGGAGCGGUAAUACAGAGGCCCCAAGCAUUAUCCGGAAUCACUGGGCGUAAAGGGUGCGUAGGCGGUCGUAUUAGUCUUUUGUAAAAGCUCCUCGGCUUAACCGAGGAAAUGCAAAAAGAAACGGUACGACUUUGAGGAUGUGAGAGGUACAGGGAACUCAUGGUGUAGGGGUGAAAUCCGUUGAUAUCAUGGGGAACACCAAAUGCGAAGGCACUGUACUGGCACACUCCUGACGCUGAGGCACGAAAGCGUGGGAAUCGAACGGGAUUAGAUACCCCUGUA
rnacentral:rRNA from 1 species